GCUCCUAUCGGCCGGACGAGUGGCCCGCCUGGUUCGCGGCGGCCGGCCUGGAGCCGCCGCUGGUGCAGGGCUCCAUGUUCGAUUCGUCGCUGGUGCU
rnacentral:tRNA from 1 species